rnacentral:rRNA from 1 species
CAGCAGCCGCGGGAAAACGUAGGAGGCAAGCGUUAUUCGGAAUUACUGGGUGUAAAGGGAGCGUAGACGGUUAAACAAGUCUGAAGUGAAAUGCCGGGGCUCAACCCCGGAGCUGCUUUGGGAACUGUAGAACUGGAGUGUCGGAGGGGUAAGCGGAAUUCCCAGUGUAGCGGUGAAAUGCGUAGAUAUUGGGAGGAACACCGGCGGCGAAGGCGGCUUACUGGACGACAACUGACGUUGAGGCUCGAAGGCGUGGGUAGCAAACAGGAUUAGAUACCCCGGUAGUCCCUGUCUCUUAUAC